UACGUAGGGGGCUAGCGUUGUCCGGAAUCAUUGGGCGUAAAGCGCGCGUAGGCGGCCCGGUAAGUCCGCUGUAAAAGUCAAAGGCUCAACCUUUGAAUGUCAGUGGAUACUGCCGGGCUAGAGUCCGGAAGAGGCGAGUGGAACUCCUGGUGUAGCGGUGGAAUGCGCAGAUAUCAGGAAGAACACCGGUGGCGAAGGCGGCUCUCUGGGCCUUACCUGACGCUGAGGAGCGAAAGCGUGGGUAGCGAACAGG
rnacentral:rRNA from 1 species